AUUGAACGCUGGCGGCAGGCCUAACACAUGCAAGUCGAGCGGAUGAAGGGAGCUUGCUCCUGGAUUCAGCGGCGGACGGGUGAGUAAUGCCUAGGAAUCUGCCUGGCAGUGGGGGAUAACGUCCGGAAACGGGCGCUAAUACCGCAUACGUCCUGAGGGAGAAAGUGGGGGAUCUUCGGACCUCACGCUAUCAGAUGAGCCUAGGUCGGAUUAGCUAGUUGGUGGGGUAAAGGCCUACCAAGGCGACGAUCCGUAACUGGUCUGAGAGGAUGAUCAGUCACACUGGAACUGAGACACGGUCCAGACUCCUACGGGAGGCAGCAGUGGGGAAUAUUGGACAAUGGGCGAAAGCCUGAUCCAGCCAUGCCGCGUGUGUGAAGAAGGUCUUCGGAUUGUAAAGCACUUUAAGUUGGGAGGAAGGGCAGUAAGUUAAUACCUUGCUGUUUUGACGUUACCAACAGAAGAAGCACCGGCUAACUUCGUG
rnacentral:rRNA from 1 species